GACUCUGUAGCUCAGUUGGUUAGAGCAGCUAGCACUGCACCGGAAAUGCAAUGACACAGGUUCAAUUCCUGCCAGAGGGC